rnacentral:lncRNA from 1 species
AAGGUCAAGGGUCGGUUGAAGAUAUUAAGCAAGACUCUGCCGCCGGCAACAAAUUGCAAAGCAACCACCACCCGUCCAAUAGCAGCUGCUGCUCUGUCAAGCCAGCAUUUUUCUGUUACCUCUAACUCAUUAGUUAGAUGUUCAGGUGGCGGUAUACACCACCACCUGCAAUGGCCGUCGGCCGCCGUUUAACAAUUUUGCAGCCCUGAGUACUCUCAGGACCCGCCAGGUGACGGUGUCCACCGCCUCCUGCAACAGCCGGCAACACUUGGGGGCAAGCCCAAGAACCGGCCGUUUAACAAUUUCGCCGCCGAGUAGGAACUACAGACC